CUGCACGCUGGCUGCUUCCCGCCUCCCUGUAUGCGUUCAUGUGUCUUUGUGGAUAUCCUGGAUGUUGGUGUAAAAGCAGCUAAAUUUGACAUCAAAUCUGUUUUUGUGAAUGAAAUGGGAACAAGAGAGAAUAACUUAUUUAACACCUGCUAUUGCAGACACAGUGGAAUCCAACAUGUGACUGAAAGAAAGGAGAAGGGCUGAAUGAAAAGGUGUUUGUGCUCACAGACGUCUGAAAAUCCACAAAGAAACGCAAGAGAUCUGAAAAUGGAGCCACACACAGCUUUGCCCGUGUGGCAAGCUUUUAUUUCUCCUUAAAGCAGCGGCUGAGGAAGACAGCAGCGGGGUAUCAAGUUCUGCGCUGGCAAGAGGUUCUGCUCACACGGCAGGGGCAGAACAAAGUGCCGGUGGCCCUGGAUAGCAUCCAUGGUGCCGGAGAGUAACGGCACUGUGAAUGGGACCUGUCACUUCCACUCAGUGCCGCCUGUGAUCUGAGCCACCCGGAACGACGCUCAGAUAAGUGGCUAAUCCCAGUAUCCCUGCUGGCUCGACAGCCCCCUACUGCCAUGACAACCAGAAGGGAAUCUCCUCCAGCAACAACUUAAUUGGAUAAUUUCCUCCCUGUUUGAUUGUGUGUCACUCUGCUUUUGUUAAGUAAAGUCUGGAUUGUCUGACUGUGGGUGUGUUUUUUUGACUUUGAGAGGGGGGAAGGU